CACGUAGGGUGCGAGCGUUGUCCGGAAUUAUUGGGCGUAAAGAGCUCGUAGGCGGUCCGUCACGUCGGAUGUGAAAUUCCAGGGCUCAACCCUGGACCUGCAUUCGAUACGGGCGGACUAGAGUUCGGUAGGGGAGACUGGAAUUCCUGGUGUAGCGGUGAAAUGCGCAGAUAUCAGGAGGAACACCGGUGGCGAAGGCGGGUCUCUGGGCCGAUACUGACGCUGAGGAGCGAAAGCGUGGGGAGCAAACGGG
rnacentral:rRNA from 1 species